AACCUUAAGUUUAUCUUGUUACAUUUUGAAGCCUUGUCGGGGUUGAAGAUUAACUUUUCUAAAAGUGAGGUGAUUGUGACUAGGGCUAAUGUGACUUGACCAAAAAUCUACCAGAAGCGACAUGGGGCCAAGUCACCAAGCCCUCCCCCUCCGAGAGAAUAGGGAACAAGACAGCAAGCUAGUGCCAGUUCGCCAACUCUGCAGGAGAGAGAGUUCUCCAAAGACCCAGAUCCCAGCCAUUGUGAGAGAGCUCAGAGAUUGAGAUCCCAGGCUCCGGACAGUAAAAUAAUAGUACCAGAAAAGAGGACGCUAAAGGUGCGUCCCCCAGUCUACCAAUCCAACCAGAAGCGGGUCGAAGCACCAUUCCUGACGAGGAACUUAACAUGAUCACGCAAAACGUCACUGGCCCUAAUAAGAUCCCUCCAAAACCGAGACCCAUUGGACGUCGUCGUCAUUGGUACGAACAACUAGAUCUGAUGUGCGCCGCUACCCUUUCCACAUUCGCUCUCUUGUGAGAUCCCAACCUCCUCCCCCUCUUUCAAUCUCCUUUGCCGCGACUGUGGCCACGGACAAAUCUCUGGCAUCGUCCUCGGAUGCGUUGUUAGGGCGCAAGCAUGGUCGGGAGGAUUCGUUGGAGGCGGGUCCGGCUUCGGAUCUUGAGUAUGAGGCGGCUCUAUGCGAGAAGCUGGAGGCAGAGCAGGCCUCUCGGGAGCAGGUGGAGCGCGACCGGGCAGCGUGGGCGGCGGGGCCGGCAUGGUUGCAGCGCGAGGAGCAGGCGCGUGAGGAGGAGGCGGCUAAGGCUGCGGCCAUGGAUCCCUGGGAGGUCGCGAUGUCGGGCUCGUCGGCGGCUACGGUGAUCCCUCGCCUUGUGCCUCCUCGCGGCCCGGCUGACCAGGUGUUGGCGGGGGGCCGUGCUGGUGGUGCCGGAUCUGGGGCUGCAGGGCUUGGCCACGGUGUUGCUGAUGGUCGGGGUGGAGGAUUCGGUAACGCCUCCUUCCCCUCCAAGUCUCGCCGGACCUCGCCUCUAGAGCCGGGGUCCUCCUCGAUGGUGGCCAGCGAUGGUAUCCCUCUCCCCCGCCUCCGCUACCUCCGGGAUUUGCUCCCUCUCGCGUUGGGGGUCCGGCCUCUGGUGGUGGCUCUGGCUCUGGUUCGACUACUUUGACGCGUUUUGCGUGCCAUCGUGCGGGUCACUUCCAGUCAAGAUGCAAGUUUCCUCCUUUCAGCUUUAUAUGUCGCUCAGAGGGCCAUCUCACUAUGUAUUGGGAUAACCGUACCCAAUUCCCAGCCUUUAAAUAGUUCGGUCUUGGCCUACCUUCCUGUUCUUUCUUCACUGUUGAUGGGGAUCACGGGAUGCCUGUCGUUACUCCCGUGUCUUCCAACGCUGUGGUGAUCUUUGUCAUUUCCAAUCCUGUUUCCAGUCAAGUUAUUUUUUAUGAGCUCAGGGAGUGGGGCCUGGAGGGCUGGAAUUGGCAGAUCAACCAGAUCUCGGAGAGAGAAUUUUCAGUUACUUUUCCCACGAAUGAAAUAUUAAAGAUACUGGCCUCGUGAUCGAGUUUCACCCUUCCCCUUAACUAGGUGAUGGUCUCUGUGAAGGCGGCUGCUGAUGGGGCUAAAGCAGUGGCUUCUCUGUCUGGAAACUUGGGUGAUCCUCGAUGAUGUUCUGUUUGGACUCCGAAAUGUUUGUUUUCUGAUGGCUUUGGGAGUGCUUAUUGGCAAGACUGUUGUUGUUGUUGUUGUUGAUGAGGCCUCUAUUGAACCUCCUGGCCCAAUCCGCAUGAACAUUUGGUGUCUGAAUCUGUCCCGUGUAUAAAGUAUGAUCGAUGUAUUCCCCGCUUCGGACACUUAUUGCAUCUGUGACCGCACUAAGGGUAUGGCGGCCCAGCAGGCGCCUCCUCCUCCCCCUGCUCCUAAGCCAUCCAACCCGGAUCCUUCUGACAGUGGGGGCGAGACGGGCACAGGCAGCAAUGCCAAUCCUUUCACCUCGUCGGAAUGGGAAGCUAUGGGAUCUGAAACUCGUGGUCUGUUUGACUUUGGUCCCUCUUGCAAUGGUGGUGGGGGCGCUCCCAAGGAGGGUGCUCGCAAUGUGGAGGCCAUGGAUGUCGAGGCCCUUAGAGGGGCUACGCCCCUCUCCGGGGCGUGCUCCACCAUCAUUGAGGCUGUUGCUCGACCUGCCUCCCCAUCUCUGUCUAGAAUUGUGGAUGUGCCUCCGAAAGUUUCGGUCCCUCCUUCUAGCCCAUGCAGCAAGAAGCAGAAUAAGAAAUCAUCAGUGCGUAAGUUCUCGGCCAAGAGCGGGGCAUCUCCGGGGAGUAUGCGAUAGGGGGCAAGUAUGUGCCAUCAUCUGGAUGAUGACCUGGGUGCGGCUGCCGGUUCUGAGCUACCCGGGGGCGAUACCUCUUCCCCCCGGCCCGCUCCUCAGCGGCUCCGGUCCGUUCUCCUGCCUCCACGGCUCGAAAGGGUUUCCGCCGCCAUAGCAAUGUGGUGCCCGUCCAGGAGCUGGCUGAGCAUAGGGCGGCGGCCAAGGAUCUUUGCCCCCCAGAAGUGGAAAUUAUUGACUAAGCCAGCGGAUGUGGACGGUUUCGAGGAGCUGAUCAACAAAGUUCGGGCGUCGGCAAGCUUAAUGUCCUCUCAUGCCUCCGUUUGACCAUCAUAGUCUUGGGUUCUCCUUCUCUAGCAGUAGGUUGUUGGCCUGCGUGCCAGUUUAUGCUUGUAUUGGGCCUGUGCGCCUUUGUACUUUCGUUUGUGAUGAGCUGUGCCUCGUGGCCUGCGGUCUUUGGGUCCCCAUGGUUGGUGUUUGGUGAACUCGUGGUUGCGUUUUGUGGUACUCUGUCUUGUGGCUUUAUUUAUAAAGUCGGGCUCUCGCCUUUUCUUUAAAA